UAUAUUCCUCAGCUUUAGUUGGGAAUAAAUAGAGAAGCACAAAGAAAUACAUAGCGCUCAAAGGAUGGCUUGCCUGCACGAUCACGAUUGCGCCGACCAUAACUGUUCCUCCGAUUGGUCUCUCUUCAAGCAUAUCGACCUUUCUAAGGUGUCUGCUUUGAACGAGGCUAUCAGAGGAAGUGUCAAAUCCGUUUUUAAACCAUGGGAGCAGCGUUUGAAUACUUCGGAGGGCCACUUGGAAAGCAAUGAAGGUGAUCCUGAACUGAUUGUUUUCAUUCCGUUCACAGCAGAUGUUAAAAUCAAGAGCAUAGCAAUUGUCGGUGGCGCUGAUGGAACAAGUCCAGCUAAGAUGAGAGCGUUCAUCAAUCGGGAUGGCAUUGAUUUUUCAGAUGCUCAAUCUAUGCAACCAGUUCAGGAGUGGGAUUUAGCCGAAAACUUGCAAGGAGUUUUAGAGUACCAGACAAGGUAUUCUAGGUUUCAGAGUGUGGGAAAUAUCACCUUGCAUUUCCCUGAUAAUUUUGGCGGUGAUACAACACAAAUACAUUAUAUUGGUUUGAAAGGAGAAGCCACCCAGCUGAAGAGGGACGUUGUUGCAAAUAUUGUUUAUGAGGUUGUACCUAACCCCUCUGACCACAACUAUUCUGAGUAAGUCCAGCAUAGAGGUGUUGAGGCUUAAAAAUGUUUGAUGCUAUGCACCCAAGGAUGUAGCCUAGCGGUCAAUAGAGUUGGGGGAGAACCAUGACGUCUCAGGUUCAAAUCCCAACGGAGGCAAAAACACCAGGUGAUUACUUCCCAUAUGCCUUCAGCCUUGGUGGGCGCAGUUACCCGGUACCUGUGCUAGUGGGAGGUAGUAUAUACCGGUGAAAUACUCGAGGACUCGAGCUGAGGGUGGCGGAGGCCUUUCGCAUGUGGAAUAAGUUGUGUUUUAGGCAGCUCUCUUUAUUAGAGUGCUUUCUUUCUGCUGUAUACUGAUAGAACCUGUACUCAAAAUAUACCCUGGAAUCAUUAGAUAAUUUACUGGAAAGUGCAUUUACUUAGCCCAGCCCUGCCUCGUCUCUCUUCCCUUCGUUCCGUUGACACGAUCCAGUGGAUAAUCACUGUUGACA